CCGGUGUAGCGGGAAAUGUUAGAUAUCGGGAGGACCCCCGGGGCGAAGGCGAUCGUCUGGGACAACCCUACGGUUGAGGACAGAUAAGGCUAGGGGAGCAAACGGGAUUAGGUUCCCCGGUAGUCCUAGCCUGUAAGCGAUGGAUACUAGGUGUUUGGUGGUAUCGACUCCUCCAGUCCGGCAGUUAACACAAUAAGUAUCCCGCUUGGGGAGUACGACCGCAAGGUUAAAACUCAAAGAAAAUUGACGGGGGCCCGCACAAGCGGUGGAGCAUGUGGUUUAAUUCGACGCAACGCGACGAACCUUACCAGGGCUUGACAUCGUGCGACAUCCUAAGAGAUUAGGUUUCCGUGUAACCGGACGCAGAGACAGGUGCUGCAUGGCUGUCGUCAGCUCGUGCCGUGAGGUGUUGGGCAAGUCCCGCAACGAGCGCAACCCUCGUCGUGUGUUGGUCCGCAAGGAUCUCUCACGCGGGACCGCCGGUGACAAGCCGGAGGAAGGUGGGGAUGACGUCAAGUCAGCAUGGCCCUUACGUCCUGGGCUACACACGUGCUACAAUGGGGAGGACAGCGAGUCGCUAACCCGCGAGGGCAAGCUAAUCUCUUAAACCUCUCCUCAGUUCGGAUUGAAGGCUGCAACUCGCCUUCAUGAAGUCGGAAUCGCUAGUAACCGCAGAUCAGCUACGCUGCGGUGAAUACGUUCCCGGGCCUUGUACACACCGCCCGUCACGUCACCUGAGUUUAGUGUACCCGUGUCCGCCCGUGUAACCGCAAGGAGCAAGGUGUCUAAGGUAUGCUAGGUAAGGGGGGCG
rnacentral:rRNA from 1 species